rnacentral:rRNA from 1 species
GAGGCGUGACGACGAGGCACUACGGUGCUGAAGCAACAAAUGCCCUGCUUCCAGGAAAAGCCUCUAAGCAUCAGGUAACAUCAAAUCGUACCCCAAACCGACACAGGUGGUCAGGUAGAGAAUACCAAGGCGCUUGAGAGAACUCGGGUGAAGGAACUAGGCAAAAUGGUGCCGUAACUUCGGGAGAAGGCACGCUGACACGUAGGUGAAGUGAUUUACUCAUGGAGCUGAAGUCAGUCGAAGAUACCAGCUGGCUGCAACUGUUUAUUAAAAACACAGCACUGUGCAAACACGAAAGUGGACGUAUACGGUGUGACGCCUGCCCGGUGCCGGAAGGUUAAUUGAUGGGGUCAGCGCAAGCGAAGCUCCUGAUCGAAGCCCCGGUAAACGGCGGCCGUAACUAUAACGGUCCUAAGGUAGCGAAAUUCCUUGUCGGGUAAGUUCCGACCUGCACGAAUGGCGUAAUGAUGGCCAGGCUGUCUCCACCCGAGACUCAGUGAAAUUGAACUCGCUGUGAAGAUGCAGUGUACCCGCGGCAAGACGGAAAGACCCCGUGAACCUUUACUAUAGCUUGACACUGAACAUUGAGCCUUGAUGUGUAGGAUAGGUGGGAGGCUUUGAAGUGUGGACGCCAGUCUGCAUGGAGCCGACCUUGAAAUACCACCCUUUAAUGUUUGAUGUUCUAACGUGGACCCGUUACCCGGGUUGCGGACAGUGUCUGGUGGGUAGUUUGACUGGGGCGGUCUCCUCCUAAAGAGUAACGGAGGAGCACGAAGGUUGGCUAAUCCUGGUCGGACAUCAGGAGGUUAGUGCAAUGGCAUAAGCCAGCUUGACUGCGAGCGUGACGGCGCGAGCAGGUGCGAAAGCAGGUCAUAGUGAUCCGGUGGUUCUGAAUGGAAGGGCCAUCGCUCAACGGAUAAAAGGUACUCCGGGGAUAACAGGCUGAUACCGCCCAAGAGUUCAUAUCGACGGCGGUGUUUGGCACCUCGAUGUCGGCUCAUCACAUCCUGGGGCUGAAGUAGGUCCCAAGGGUAUGGCUGUUCGCCAUUUAAAGUGGUACGCGAGCUGGGUUUAGAACGUCGUGAGACAGUUCGGUCCCUAUCUGCCGUGGGCGCUGGAGAACUGAGGGGGGCUGCUCCUAGUACGAGAGGACCGGAGUGGACGCAUCACUGGUGUUCGGGUUGUCAUGCCAAUGGCACUGCCCGGUAGCUAAAUGCGGAAGAGAUAAGUGCUGAAAGCAUCUAAGCACGAAACUUGCCCCGAGAUGAGUUCUCCCUGAGACUUAAAGUCUCCUGAAGGAACGUUGAAGACGACGACGUUGAU